ACCUUUGCAGACAUAACAGGUGUUCAUGCCGUGCCGUCCGGCCGUAUGGAUGAAAAGGGAAUCGGGUGAAAAUCCCGAACAGUACCCGCUGCUGUAAUCUUGUUUGCAAAGCCUGACAAACAGCAACUCCACUGAAGGACAGACCUUUGGGAAGGAGUCAGGCUUAAGAAAGUCAGAAGACCUGCCUGUACGUUCAGUUCUUG
rnacentral:ncRNA from 2 species